AUUGAACGCUGGCGGCAGGCCUAACACAUGCAAGUCGUGCGAGCGGCGGACGGGUGUGUAAUGUAUGUGGAUCUGCCUGAUGGAGGGGGAUAACUACUGGAAACGGUAGCUAAUACCGCAUACCAUCAGAUGAACCCAUAUGGGAUUAGCUUGUAGGUGAUGUAACGGCUCACCUAGGCGACGAUCCCUAGCUGGUCUGAGAGGAUGAUCAGCUACACGGUGACUGAGACACGUCGCAGGUUCCUGAGGGAGGCAGCAGUGGGGAAUCUUGCACAAUGGGCGCAAGCCUGAUGCAGCCAUGACGCGUGUAUGCAGAAGGUCUUCGGGUUGUAAAGUACUUUCAGUCGGGAGGCGUUACCGACAGAAGAAGCACCGGCUAACUCCGUGCCAGCCGCCGCGGUAAUUC
rnacentral:rRNA from 1 species